CCUACGGGAGGCAGCAGUAGGGAAUAUUGCUCAAUGGGGGAAACCCUGAAGCAGCAACGCCGCGUGGAGGAUGAAGGUUUUCGGAGUGGAAACUCCUUUUGUUAGAGAAGAGAAGGACGGUAGCUAAGGAAUAAGCACCGGCUAACGCCGUGCCCGCAUCCGCGGUAAUACGGAGGGUGCAAGCGUUACUCGGAAUCACUGGGCGUAAAGAGCGCGUAGGCGGGAUAGCAAGUCAGAUGUGAAAUCCUAUGGCUUAACCAUAGAACUGCAUUUGAAACUGUUAUUCUAGAGUAUGGGAGAGGUAGGUGGAAUUCUUGGUGUAGUGGUCACAUCCUU
rnacentral:rRNA from 1 species